UUCCUUUCUAGAGGAAAUUAAGACAGAACGU
rnacentral:piRNA from 1 species